rnacentral:lncRNA from 1 species
CCAUCUCUUUUUUCGCACGUGAAUAGUUUGAUGUGCGUUAGGGGGGUUGACAUCCUUUCUUGCAUGGGUUUUCUAUUUGGAUAUGGAGUCCUAAGUCCCUAGGUCUUUGAUUAAAUAUCAGGUGCCUUAUCUUUAAAAGCAAGGGACAUAACCACCGGUUGGUUAUGAAUUUUUUUUGGGGGACAAAAAUAAAAGAGAGAAAGAGAGUGAUUGUCAUGAGAC